rnacentral:misc_RNA from 1 species
UCCGGCUUAACGCCGGCAGUCUACCUAGAGUGCCCAACUUAAUGGUGGCAACUAAGUACGAGGGUUGCGCUCGUUGCGGGACUUAACCCAACACCUCACGGCACGAGCUGACGACAGCCAUGCAGCACCUGAACCAGCGGUCCCCGAAGGGAAAAUCCUAUUUCUAGGACGAUCCACUGUUGUCUAGUCCAGGUAAGGUGGGGAUGACGUUAGUGACCUUUGC